rnacentral:lncRNA from 1 species
GCUGUUACAAAAUAUUAUAAAUUAUUAUAAAUUAAGGAAUGUAUCUCCCUCAUGCAAAGCUCUGAUUCCUUUCACAGAUUUGGCUAUACUUUUUGGACCUUUUGGAUUAUAGCUCUUCAUCUUUUAUAUAAGCUUUGGAUUUCAAAUAUUUUGGCCACGAGCAUCACUGAAGAGACAUGUAUUGUCGAAAUGCGCAUCUGGUGCAAGAAAAU